rnacentral:rRNA from 1 species
AUUGAACGCUGGCGGCAUGCCUUACACAUGCAAGUCGAACGGCAGCACGGGAGCAAUCCUGGUGGCGAGUGGCGAACGGGUGAGUAAUACAUCGGAACGUGCCCAGUAGUGGGGAUAACCGCGAAGACCGGACUAAUACCGCAUACGACCUACGGGUGAAAGACAGGGGAGUCGCAAGACCUUGCGCUAUCGGAGCGGCCGAUGUCAGAUUAGCUUGUUGGCGGGGU